rnacentral:rRNA from 1 species
GAUGAACGCUAGCGGCAGGCUUAACACAUGCAAGUCGAGGGGCAGCGAGUAAGUAGUUUACUACUUAUGUCGGCGACCGGCGCAAGGGUGAGUAACGCGUGAGCAACAUACCCGUUUCAGGGGGAUAACCCGGAGAAAUCCGGCCUAAUACCCCAUAGUAAUUAUUAGAGGCAUCUCUGAUAAUUUAAAAUUACGAUGGAAACGGAUUGGCUCGCGUGACAUUAGCUAGAUGGUAAGGUAACGGCUUACCAUGGCUACGAUGUCUAGGGGUUCUGAGAGGAAGGUCCCCCACACUGGAACUGAGACACGGUCCAGACUCCUACGGGAGGCAGCAGUGAGGAAUAUUGGUCAAUGGGCGGAAGUCUGAACCAGCCAUGCCGCGUGAAGGUCACGGCCCUACGGGUCUUAAACUUCUUUUAUACGAGAGCAAUAAUAACUACGUGUAGUUAGAUGAGAGUAUCGUAUGAAUAAGUAUCGGCUAACUCCGUGCCAGCAGCCGCGGUAAUAC